rnacentral:rRNA from 1 species
UACGAAGGGGGCUAGCGUUGUCCGGAUUUAUUGGGCGUAAAGAGCGUGUAGGCGGCCUGGUAGGUCUGCUGUGAAAACUCGAGGCUCAACCUCGAGAUGUCGGCGGAAACCAUCUGGCUAGAGUCCGGAAGAGGAGAGUGGAAUUCCUGGUGUAGCGGUGAAAUGCGCAGAUAUCAGGAAGAACACCUAUGGCGAAGGCAGCUCUCUGGGACGGUACUGACGCUGAGACGCGAAAGCGUGGGAGCGAACAGG